UACGUAGGGUGCAAGCGUUGUCCGGAUUUAUUGGGUCUAAAGGGUACGUAGGCGGCCUUUUAAGUCAGUGGUGAAAGGUAGCCGCCCAACGGUUGUUAUGCCAUUGAUACUGGGGGGCUUGAGUGCGACAGGGGACACUGGAAUUUGUGGUGUAGCGGCGAAAUGCAUAGAUACCACAAGGAACACCGAAAGCGAAGGCAGGUGUCUGGGUCGCAACUGACGCUGAGGUACGACAGUGCGGGGAUUAAACAGG
rnacentral:rRNA from 1 species